GGAGAGAUGGCUGAGUUGGUCGAAGGCGCUCGCCUGGAAAGCGGGUACACGGGGUUGACCUGUGUCGUGGGUUCGAAUCCCACUCUCUCCG
rnacentral:tRNA from 1 species